GAAUUUAAUAUAAUUAUUUAUAAGUAUUUAGAGAGUUAGAUAAAUAAAGUAUAUUUAAUUGGGAGGAUUUUUAAAUUUAAUAAACUUUAAAUUUUUAAAAAUUAUUAAUUAGUAGUUAAAAGUUUUUAGAAUGGUUUAAUAAAUUAAUUAAAAAUUAAUUACCUUAGGGAUAACAGCGUGAUAUUUUUGUAGAGAUCUUAUUAAUAAAAAUGAUUGC
rnacentral:rRNA from 1 species